rnacentral:rRNA from 1 species
AUACGUAGGGUGCGAGCGUUGUCCGGAAUUACUGGGCGUAAGGAGCUCGUAGGUGGUUUGUCGCGUCGUCUGUGAAAUUCCGGGGCUUAACUCCGGGCGUGCAGGCGAUACGGGCAUAACUUGAGUACUGUAGGGGAGACUGGAAUUCCUGGUGUAGCGGUGAAAUGCGCAGAUAUCAGGGGGAACACCGGGGGCGAGGGCGGUUCUCUGGGCGGUAACUGACGCGGAGGAGCGAAAGCAGGGGUAGCGAACAGGAUUAGAUCCCCUGGUAGUCCAUGCCGUAAACGGUGGUCGCAAGGUGUAGGGGCUUUCCACGACUUCUGUGCCGUAGCUAACGCAUUAAGCGCCCCGCCUGGGGAGUACGGCCGCAAGGCUGAAACUCAAAGGAAUUGACGGGG